GACGAACGCUGGCGGCGUGCUUAACACAUGCAAGUCGUACGGUAAGGCCCUUUCGGGGGUACACGAGUGGCGAACGGGUGAGUAACACGUGAGUAACCUGCCCACAACUUUGGGAUAACGCUAGGAAACUGGUGCUAAUACUGGAUAUGUGCUCCUGCUGCAUGGUGGGGGUUGGAAAGCUCCGGCGGUUGUGGAUGGACUCGCGGCCUAUCAGCUUGUUGGUGGGGUAGUGGCCUACCAAGGCGGCGACGGGUAGCCGGCCUGAGAGGGUGACCGGCCACAUUGGGACUGAGAUACGGCCCAGACUCCGACGGGAGGCAGCAGUGGGGAAUAUUGCACAAGGGGCGCAAGCCGGAUGCAGCAACGCCGCGUGCGGGAUGACGGCCUUCGGGUUGUAAACCGCUUUCAGCAGGGACGAAGCUUUUUGUGACGGUACCUGCAGAAGAAGCACCGGCUAACUACGUG
rnacentral:rRNA from 1 species